GACGAACGCUGGCGGCGUGCUUAACACAUGCAAGUCGAACGGAAAGGCCCUGCUUUUGUGGGGUGCUCGAGUGGCGAACGGGUGAGUAACACGUGAGUAACCUGCCCUUGACUUUGGGAUAACUUCAGGAAACUGGGGCUAAUACCGGAUAGGAGCUCCUGCUGCAUGGUGGGGGUUGGAAAGUUUCGGCGGUUGGGGAUGGACUCGCGGCUUAUCAGCUUGUUGGUGGGGUAGUGGCUUACCAAGGCUUUGACGGGUAGCCGGCCUGAGAGGGUGACCGGGCACAAUGGGACUGAGAUACGGCCCAGACUCCUACGGGAGGCAGCAGUGGGGAAUAUUGCACAAUGGGCGGAAGCCUGAUGGAGCAACGCCGCGUGCGGGAUGACGGCCUUCGGGUUGGAAACCGCUUUCGCCUGGGACGAAGCGUGAGUGACGGUAAUGGGUAAAGAAGCACCGGCUAACUACGUG
rnacentral:rRNA from 1 species